rnacentral:rRNA from 1 species
GGAUGCGAUCAUACCAGCACUAAAGCACCGGAUCCCAUCAGAACUCCGAAGUUAAGUUUGCUUGGGCGAGAGUAGUACUAGGAUGGGUGACCUCCUGGGAAGUCCUCGUGUUGCAUUCC